CUUGAGAGAGGGAGGAACAGAGGGAGAGAAUGUUUUAAGCAGACUCCCUGCUGAGUGUGGAGCCCAUUGUGGGGCUUGAUCUCACAACCUCGAGAUCAUAAUCUGAGCCAAAAUCACUAGCCAGAUGCUUAAUGAACUGAGUCACCCAGACAUCCUUGUUUAUUUAUUUUUGAUUCUAUAUCUUGCUUAGUGGUCUGUUAGGUCUGUGAAAUGAGUUUGGGAGUUUUACAACAUUUUCUGCAUGUUGUCCUGCUUUUAAAAAUAUAAGAAUUAUCUAUUCUUGAAAUUUUGAUAGCAAUGCCACUAACACCAUGUGGGAAGGGUGAAUUAAGGUGUUCUUUUCACAGUAGUUCUUAUUGAGCUUCAGCCAGAAUACUCUAUCAGGCCUUUCUUUGAGUUACAUGUUGUUCUAGACAAUUUACUCAUUCUCAGGGUCCUUUCCUUUUUGUUUACCUCACAGCUAGAGAGAAACAUUCAGUUCCUGCUAUCUACACUCUGGUUGGCAAGGGUAUCCUAGUCCAGAGAGACAUUUCACAAUUUUUUUGGUUUUGCUUCUCACCUCAACUACUCAGCUUCCCUCUGAAUUAGAAAUUAACUAUGGGAAUUAACAGUAACAAAAGAUGUUCACUUUUCUUUCUUUUUUUCUGCUUCUGGAGAGAUGAUUAGGAGAUGUACUUAAGGGGACAAUAUGGUGGUUAACCAGAUUUAACCUUGAGGCAAACUGCCAGGGUAUGAGUUGUGACUGUAACUCUAAUUAGAUUUUCUGCCCUGAAGUUACAUAAUGUCACUGAAUCUCGAUUCCCUAAUCUAUUAAGAGGAUAAUACUUCCAACCUCAUUAGCUUGUUGUGAGCUUUAAAUGAGCAGAUAUUUGUAAUGUUCUUAGAAUAGUACUUUCCCUUAGAGUAAGUGCUCAACAAGUAUCAUCUAAUUUACAGUUAUUUAAGAGGAAAGCAUAAAAUUUUAAUAGAAGAGCAAAAAAUAGGAGUGUGAGGAUAAAUCAUUUCAGCCAUAUAAUAUGUGCUACACAUAUAAUCUUACCUUCAAACAUAUUUGCAGAAAUGUAUAAAUAUUAUUUUCUAUAAUUUAACUGCAUUUUCAUAUUUUUUUUCUUUUUAAUUGAAGGAUAACCCAUAUGAACUUAAAAAGCCAAGUAUACACAUACAGUUCAAAACACUAUAACAAAGAAACCACCUGUGUAACUACAACAUAUCAGAAAAUAGAAUGCCAACAACCCAGAAACUUCUUCAUGCCUUCCUAAUUGCUACUCACUUCCUGCCUCUACCUUGCAGAUUUAUUUUAUCUUCUAAACCUGUUGUGUGGUUUUGCCUGUUUUUAAAUUUUAAAUAAUGGAAUCAUAUGGUAUGUAUUCUUUUGUGUCUGGCUUCUUUCAAUCCUAUGUUUAUCGUAGUCUUAGGUAAAGCAAUGAUAAGUGAUCCCCAACUCUCCAAAAUGUGACUCGGUUUUUACAAGUGGGAUGGAAGUAAGCUAGGGAGAAGUUCUUUUUUCCUCUACUACCUCAUUUUUUCCCCAGACUGGAUUUCUAUUUUAAUCUCUUAUUUUUCCAGACUAAAUUAUUUCAGUAAACUCAGGAUUUCUUUUUUCAUUCCCUAGAGCAGUUGCUAUGUUCAGGCGAUUUACAUAGUUCCAAACGCAUGGGGUUAAGGGAAGGAGUGAAAUAGUACAACUCAUUGUUGCUUGCUGCACAAACAUUGCUUUUAUAUCAGCCUUGACUUCUGAACACCGAUAGUUUUGGCUUUCGGAAAUUUAAAGGCCAAGACUUGUAGACAAGUUUAAUAACUCCUGUGUCAUAUCUAUACUUGAGGGAGAAAGAAAUUAUUUACUACUUCAAAAGCAUUAUUCUGUUACAUGUAUUUUUUAAGAUUUUAUUUAUUUACUUAAGAGAGAGAGCAUGAGAGAGAGAGUAUGAAUGGAGGGGAAGGGCAGAGGGAAAAGAAGCAGGCCCGAUAUGGAUACUUAGCUAACUGAGCCACCUGGGUGCCCCCAAAAAAGAGUUCUUUAUGAUAAGCAAUACUGUAAACAAAUUAACAUAUGAAUAAAUUAAGAUUUGAUGGAAAUAUUUUAGUACAUGAAAUAAAGAAUUCAUGUGGAUUCAAUACAAAGGACAACUACAAAUAUUUUCAAAGAAAAUUAAACCACAAUUGAAAUGAGACAAAUAUAUGUGUAGGAAUGUAAAAAUACAUAAACAGAAGCAAUGAUGUGAAAAGGUAUUCAAUCUCAAAGUGGCCAGGGUAAUGACAAUUAAAACAAUAACAACUAUAUUUGCAAAAAUUUAAAAGAUUGAUAGUAUCCAUGUUAUCAAAGAUGGGGUAACUGGAGCUCCCAUGCGAUGUUGGAAAGAGUGUAAGCUCUUGUAGCCUCCAGAGGAUCAUUUGGGAGUAUGAGGAAAAUUAUAACUUUGUAAACCCUUACACACAGCAUUGCCACUUUUAGAAAUAUAUCCUACAAAAUUAUACCUUUGUGCACUAAGAUAUAUAGUAUGCACUGGGGAAGUUUGCCUCGUCAUUACUUGCAGAGUGGUGUGGCAUCUUAUUCAGGGCUUGGGUUUUAAGGGAAGCACAUGAGGUGAAUAUUAAAUAAUAAGAGCAUUACUUGUAAAAAGGCAGUUUUCAUUGAAAGGUUUACAUAGCAUCUCAGUCAGUCCUGCAAAAACUUUACUUUAGCUUUUAGCAAAUAGGUUUCAGCCAAUUGAUCAAAUGAAGUAUGCUCUGGAAUUCAGAAACCCAGUGACACUAAAAACUCUUCUCUAUAAACAUUAGUAUCCCACUCAUCAUCAUGGUAAGAUUAUCUUACUAUUUACUUACCAUUAGUAGGCUAUUAGUAGGACAAGAAGUAGCAUGGGGACCCAAUGAGAUAAUAAAUAUGAAAUCCAGGACACCUGGGUGGCUCAGUGGUUGAGCGUCUGCCUUUGGCUCAGGUUGUGAUCCCACGGUCCUGGGAUUGAGUCCUGCAUCGGGUACCCUGCAGGGAGCCUGCUUCUCCCUCUGCCUAUGUCUCUGCCUCUCUCUCUGUGUCUCUCAUGAAAAAAUAAAUAAAAUCUUUUAAAAAUAGAAAUAAAUAAACAUGAAAUCCACAUGAAAAUUCAUAUUCACACCCAAGCGUUUGCAAAUUAAUUAGAUGAUAGUCAGCAUUACGUGUAAUAUUUAAAUUAUCUCCUCCCUCAUUAUUGAUUUAAUUUCUUUUGUGUUCAAGCAGCCUCCACCUCAAGUGUAAUUAAAUAUUAAAAAUUAAAAAUUCCCUAAAUAAAAUUAUAAUUAAGC
rnacentral:lncRNA from 1 species